rnacentral:piRNA from 1 species
UNGUCAAGUUGACAAGCAGGAAUAGCCACU